GCAUCGGCCUCCGGGCGCGGCCAGAUGAGGCGGACGUUCUUAGGAGAAUGCUGAGCAAGGGGCCACAGUCGGUGACUCUAGGAAACUGCCAGCGGGCGAGGCGGCCUUCCUCGGCACCGGACAUGCAGCCAGAUGGAAUCCGUGGCAGAGGGCCCCGUCCCGGGUGAGGGGGGU